GCACAAGCGGUGGAGCAUGUGGUUUAAUUCGACGCAACGCGAAGAACCUUACAGGACUUGACAUCCCCUGACCGCGUAUGAAAGUACGUUUUCACCCUCGGGUGACAGGGAGACAGGUGGUGCAUGGUUGUCGUCAGCUCGUGUCGUGAGAUGUUGGGUUAAGUCCCGCAACGAGCGCAACCCCUACGUUUAGUUGCUAACGCGUGAAGGCGAGCACUCUAGACGAACUGCCGUUGACAAAACGGAGGAAGGUGGGAUGACGUCAAAUCAUCAUGCCCCUUAUGUUCUGGGCUACACACGUGCUACAAUGGCCGGUACAGACGGACGCAAAGCCGCGAGGUGGAGCAAAUCCUAAAAAGCCGGUCUCAGUUCGGAUUGCAGGCUGCAAUUCGCCUGCAUGAAGUCGGAAUCGCUAGUAAUCGCAGGUCAGCAUACUGCGGUGAAUACGUUCCCGGGCCUU
rnacentral:rRNA from 1 species